rnacentral:rRNA from 1 species
AGCGAACGCUGGCGGCAGGCUUAACACAUGCAAGUCGAGCGGGCACUUUCGGGUGUCAGCGGCUGACGGGUGAGUAACGCGUGGGAACGUGCCCUCUGGUUCGGAAUAACUCAGGGAAACUUGAGCUAAUACCGGAUACGCCCUUUUGGGGAAAGGCUUUCUGCCGGAGGAUCGGCCCUCGUCUGAUUAGCUAGUUGGUUAGGUAACAGCUCACCAAGGCGACGAUGAGUACCUGGUCUGAGAGGAGGCUCCGCCACACUGGGGCUGAGACACGGACCAGAACGGGAGGGAGGGGAGGAGUAGAGAACAUAGGAGGAGGAGGGCAAGUGUAACAACGCCAUGCCGGGUGAGAGAGGCAGGGGUUAGGAUUGUAAAGCUCCUUGAGCCGGGGCGAGAAUGACGGUACUGGAGGAAUAAGCCCCGGCUAACUACGUG